rnacentral:lncRNA from 1 species
CUGGUUGUAAAGAGCCUUACAAGGGUGAAUUUGCAGCGGUUGAUAAUGGCCGGGUUUUGACCUUGUCAUCGACUGUUGGGGUGUUCAAGGAGGAAAGGAGGCUGUCUUUGUUGAAAUCUUCAUCACCAAGGUCGACAUUGAUGAAGAGCCAGACGGCAGAAUUUGAUCAUAAUGGAUGGUUGUUUGAAACAAAAGGCACUUAUGGAUAUGGAAAUGCUAUAUGGCCAGAGGAGGGUGGAAAUGCGAAUGGAGAAAAUGAAAAUGCAGGUGAAUCCAUUAAGCUUCUCAGCAAACCAUGGAGGCCCCUGACUCGCAAGCUGUCUAUAAGAGCUGCAGUCCUCAGCCCAUAUCGGUAUAAUCUCUUUUCUUAUUCUUUUUCUGCUGAAGAGGGUGUUAAUUUUCUCUCAUGUUUUUAUACUUGUUCAUAUGAAGAUUUACUAAUUGUUUCAAGUACCUUUUCUCUAAGUUGUCUGGGAAGAUGCCACAUAUUCAUACAUAACCUGGCCACAUUCUUUUGAUUAUUAAUGACAGACAAAAAAUAAAAAUUGAAAUAUAAAAUAUAGGGCAAGAUCAAUUAGCUGAUUUUUCUUGGUUUGUUUAUAGGCUGAUUUGAAACUGCCAUAAGAAACAAGGUCCUGGAUGUUCUUUGGCACCCAAAAAAUUACCCUUGUGCAGAAAGAACCACUUGGCUUGUUGCAAUGUUUUAUAUUUUUUUGAUUAACCUGUAUGGAAUGUGAUUUGUUCCAAAAAGAAGUUUAUUUUAAUUAUUUCUUCAUUUUUCAAACAGUAUGGAUGAUUGGUUCAACCAAGUUUAGAUGCGUAUACAUUGUUUCAUUUGAUGGGCAAUCAUUUACUGGCUUUUUAGCAUUAAUUCAAAACAGUUAUGAAUGCUGAGACUGAAUAAUAAAACUAAAGAAUAGCGGUUGCUGUCAUCAUCUCUGAAUUUUGUUGCUUGUGUGUUUCCAGGCUUCUAGUCUUAGUCCGAAUGGCUUUUCUUGGAUUAUUUCUGACAUGGAGGAUUAGAAACCCUAAUGAGGAUGCAAUGUGGCUAUGGGGUAUGUCUGUGGUGUGUGAGAUCUGGUUCGCCUUUUCUUGGUUACUCGAUCAGCUUCCUAAGCUCUGCCCUAUUAAUCGUUCUGCUGACCUCAAUGUCUUAAAAGAGAAAUUUGAAACACCUAAUCCCAGAAACCCCACAGGAAAAUCUGAUCUUCCUGGAAUAGAUAUGUUUGUAUCAACUGCAGAUCCAGAGAAAGAACCCCCUCUUGUCAC